AGUGUCCAUCCUCAUUUACUCUCUGGAAAGACUAAAUGAACAGACUGCCGUAUUUGUCUUUCUGCUCCAUUUAGAUUUCUGCAUUGGUUCACCUCUGAUCAUGCUGUCUAGGCCAGAGUGCCCAUCUGGAGGCCACAUGGUCCAUCAACCCAGUCUCCUAUAUAAAGCUGGUCAAGAGGAGAAUUGACCUAUUCUAUCGGUAAGCCCCACCCCUCUUAGUAACUGUUGUUAACUUGGACAAACAAACAGAGUUGAUAACCAUCUUACAAUGACAGCUGUCAGUGUGAAAACCUUGUUAAAUUUUGGACAAAGAAGGACCACCUCUCAUAAAGGGAGCAUUCAAGUGGGACUUAAAUAUGCCAUAAAGGGAUAUAUAAAAGAUUUUAAAAUAAAAAUGGUGGGUAACAAGAUUAAUUUGGAAGCGAGGCUUUACAGAACACAAUGAAAGUGGGAGAAACCUCAUGUUACGGUCUUCGUGAUCACAGAUAACAACAUCCAGGAUCAACACUGUUCAUGUACUGCCGGUGCCCCAUGGGUAGGACACACCAAACAGCUCACUCUCCACUUCCUGUUCUCACAGCACCCAGCAGAGGAGACAGGCACAGCUGUUGGAGCGGGUGGAAUGUGCACACGUCUCACUCUCGAGAUGACCAUAUGAAUCAUCAGCAUGGUGUCAACCUCUUUCUCACUCUGCUUUCUAUUCCUCUGUCUCCAGCCAAUCUCUCUCAUCCAGUAUUUGUCUGUGUGUCUGAUCCCACUUCCCCCUCCUGCUGAUUCCAGUCUAUUUAUAUGAACUAUUUUCAGGAGACACUUUUCCCUAAUUUCCUCUUUGCGUCUGUUUUUUUCUCAACUCCAGACUGGUGAGGAAUUACUUUGUCAAUCCCUGUGUGACGAAGCUUUCCCAGAAGGCUCAAUGCUAAGGCAGAUAGAUUUUGGAAAGUCUUGAGAGGCGGAACGAUUGCCACGUGUUCCAUCCAGACAUCUCCAAAUUAAUCAUUCACGUUAAUGGGAUGCAUCGAGCGGCUUUUGUUUGCUGAACAUCAAAGCAGGGUCACUGGGUUUGGUUAUUGUUAAAAAUAUGACAAAUAGGCAGGAUAGAAAGUGAAUAAACUAUCAUGUUUUAUAUGGACA
ensembl:lncRNA